UUGAACGCUGGCGGCAGGCCUAACACAUGCAAGUCGAGCGGCAGCGCGGGGCAACCUGGCGGCGAGCGGCGGACGGGUGAGUAACGCGUAGGAAUCUACCCAGUAGCGGGGGAUAGCCCGGGGAAACUCGGAUUAAUACCGCAUACGCCCUAAGGGGGAAAGCAGGGGAUCGUAAGACCUUGCACUAUUGGAAGAGCCUGCGUUGGAUUAGCUAGUUGGUAGGGUAAAGGCCUACCAAGGCGACGAUCCAUAACUGGUCUGAGAGGAUGAUCAGUCACACCGGAACUGAGACACGGUCCGGACUCCUACGGGAGGCAGCAGUGGGGAAUAUUGGACAAUGGGGGCAACCCUGAUCCAGCCAUGCCGCGUGUGUGAAGAAGGCCUUCGGGUUGUAAAGCACUUUAAGUGGGGAGGAAGGGGUGAUUGCUAAUAACAAUCAUCAUUGACGCUACCCACAGAAUAAGCACCGGCUAACUCUGUGCCAGCAGCCGCCGUAA
rnacentral:rRNA from 1 species